rnacentral:rRNA from 1 species
UGAGAUUGAUCUGGCUCAGACGAACGCGGCCCCGUGCCUAAUACAUGCAAGUCGAGCGGACUUGAUGGAGUGCUUGCACUUCUGAGAGUUAGCGGCGGACGGGUGAGUAACACGUAGGCAACCUGCCCUCAAGACUGGGAUAACUACCGGAAACGGUAGCUAAUACCGGAUAAUUUAUUUCGCAGCAUUGUGGAAUAAUGAAAGACGGAGCAAUCUGUCACUUGGGGAUGGGCCUGCGGCGCAUUAGCUAGUUGGUGGGGUAAUGGCUCACCAAGGCGACGAUGCGUAGCCGACCUGAGAGGGUGAACGGCCACACUGGGACUGAGACACGGCCCAGACUCCUACGGGAGGCAGCAGUAGGGAAUCUUCCGCAAUGGGCGAAAGCCUGACGGAGCAACGCCGCGUGAGUGAUGAAGGUUUUCGGAUCGUAAAGCUCUGUUGCCAAGGAA